UUCCGCUCCAGUCAAAGAAUUGGCUUGCAGCAUGCCUUGUUAAGCUAGAAUCAAGAGCUGGCUUAUCAGGCGAUCAUGGUGUCAGUUGUGUAGAUAUGGAGAUAAUUAUUUAUCAGACUAUUCCAAGCCUAGUUGAGCAAAUGCUGACCUCAUUUUCUUUUGAAAAUAAAAGAAGUGCCGUAAUAGAGCUAAACAAGAUAAUAUCGAGUGGUGUGCUGGAAUACACAAGAGCAACGGCUGAUUCUGGGGGCAUAUUUCCACUGGUGAAAAUGCUUGAAGAGGGCGAUGAAGAUGCAUUGGAAGCUGCCUUAGCUAUCUUGUAUAAUCUGAGCAUGGAUCCAGAAAAUCACCCAGCAAUAAUUGCUGCUGGAGCAGUGCCUCUGUUGAAACGGAUUAUUUUUGCCAAAGGCCCUCACGGAACUAAAGCUCUUCAGUUGCUGAGAACAUUGCCUGUAUGACAUUCUUGAAGCAAAUGACCGUCUUGUAAAAAAGACAUCUUAAGCCGCACCUGGUGUGUGCCACAGCUAGUUUGCUACAUUGAGGCUGCAGCCGAACUGUGCCAGCUCACAGUCGCCACAUAGAUGUUGAACUUGUGACAUGAAAAGAGGUAGCAACUGUUAGCAAUACUCAGCUUUCCUGUGGCCAGCUUUUUUCCUUUACUUUUUCAGUGGCCAGUAACGAAGCUCACCGGGGCCUUAUCUGUGAUGUAAUUUUUUUUUUGCUGACAUGUUUUGAGAAAAGUUAGAACCGUGAACCUUUUUGGCACAGUAGAAGUUUGCUGGUUGUGUGACCCUGUAGUUUUACGCUGUAGCUCGUAAACUUCACCUGUUUUAGAACUAGAUUACUACAGCUCUGUAAAAAGAUGGAUAGCCUUUUUGUACAACUAUUACCGAACUAUCCCGACCAUUGUAGCGAAUUUCUGUGACAGUAGUAAAUUACAUGAGAUACAUCAUUUGUUGAGGCUA